rnacentral:rRNA from 1 species
UACAGAGGGGGCAAGCGUUGUUCGGAAUUACUGGGCGUAAAGGGCGCGUAGGCGGCCUGCUAAGUCGAACGUGAAAUCCCCGGGCUCAACCCGGGAACUGCGUCCGAUACUGGAAGGCUUGAAUCCGGGAGAGGGAUGCGGAAUUCCAGGUGUAGCGGUGAAAUGCGUAGAUAUCUGGAGGAACACCGGUGGCGAAGGCGGCAUCCUGGACCGGUAUUGACGCUGAGGCGCGAAAGCCAGGGGAGCAAACGGG